AAUUCUAGCACAGAAAACGUUCAAAAUCUCGCGCUUUGCGGCACCUCUGUAAUUUUGCAUCGAAAUGUACUAAUGUACCAUGUCACGCGUGUCGCCACAAUAGCAUAGUAGUUUCGGCGGUUUCGGUAUUAGUUUAGUUGACGCUUGGAGGCAUGCUAAGCAUGUUACUACGCACAAAUGGCUAGUAAUCAAUCGAGAAUAACCAAUUUUUUCACAGUCAACAGCCAAUGCAUGCGUGUUCCCAACGGUAGCUCCAAUAGCAGUAAAGUUUCACAACGACCGGACAUCAAACAUCGGCUGUCGUUGAAGCACAAAAGAGGAUCCAAGGAGAGCACAGACGAGCAGGACAAAACCAAGAAACUAAAAUUUUUUGCCACAGACCAAAAGUUGCAGACGGCAGAAAGCUGCCGUCCAGAGCACAGUUCGGAAGUUAAUACAAGCAUUGACAACAGCGUGCUUAGUCGACGCACCACAGGCGCAGUAACUUUCGACGCCAAGACAGACGCGGUAACUCCUCAAAACAGUCAAGAUAUAGGAAACAAUGCAGGAACAGAAAACACUGAAGCAGUGGGAGAACGUGUUCCAUACUAUCUCGAAAGUUUCACGACUAUCUUGAACUCUGUUAAGAACAGCGAACACGACUGGGACCCUUUCCUCGAUGAAGAGAAGGCUUGGGUCGCCAAGCUUUUGGACUUGAACGUGCCAUGUCAGAAGCUCUACAUCCGUCUACUUCAGAGGAAGCAUGACUGGAAGCGUCUUGCAAAGAUAACCUAUCCAGAUAUCAACAAAGAUUUACGGCCAUUGCUCCGAGAACUUCAUCAAAAAGGAUUCUUAGAAAAUGCAACCAAAAUCACAAACCUUCAGACAGCGUUAGACCUGCUUGGUCCCGCGGAACUGAAAACACUUGCAAAGUUCUUCAAGUUAAAAACAACCACUGGAUCGAAGACUGUGCUGAUCAAAGCCAUCACUGAGCAUGGCAGCUGUCAUAAAUCUGUGCUGGGCAAGGCAUCUGUACGAAGUAUAGACGAAGUCGUCUUAAAACAAGCCUCGAAAGUUAUGGGUGAGGCGUACAGACUCGCGGAUGAGCCUCGGAACAUUUAUCGACGAAUCUUGAUGUUGUUUUCGCUCGGUACGUCGUGGGACAUCGACGACGAACGCUCAGACGGAACGUCGCAGCUGUACUUCCUUUUGCUGGUUUCAAUUGGCAAGAUGUCGUUCCCACAGUAUCGCAUCAACUGCAAAACGGUUAUCUUCUCAACACGCGACGAUUUCUUGAGGUUCGAAACAGCACGUAGCCUCGAAGCAGACUUGAUAAAGGCAACAGAAAACAAGAAGUGGGAUGAUGCAUACAGUCUCUUUCUGACUGCACGUCAAAUGCUCCGAGAUCCCGCAAUAAAAUUCUACGAAGAACGAGACGAAGGCCUGCCUCAAUUUUUGCGGCACUUCAGUCCGUGUUACGUCUACACGCGAUGCCUCAGCAUUGGUGUCGAUGUUGUUCAGCGGUUGAAGAAGUACGUGGAAGCCGUCGAUUUGCUCCGCUCGCUUCUCAGUCAAGAUCUCUAUUGCCAAAGUGCUAGGGGCAGAUGGUGGGACCGAAUGGCACUAAAUCUCGAUGCGCAUCUCAACCAAGCUGAACAAGCUUUACACAGCAUACGAGACGGACUAUCUGAUCCAAGAGUCCGGCCCCAAUUCAGAUACUCUCUCUACAGCAGGGCAGAAAAAAUACUGUCUUCCUCAACUGGCAAGAACAUGCAAGCGUCGCUAGAUGACUUUCCAGAAGUCAAAGUCUGCAAAGCUCCGGAGGUAACCAUAGAAGGUCGAUUGAUUCCACGGAAGAUUCCCGGACGCAAUCACUUGUUCAUGUCGUCGGAACUGGAGGCGUUUGGUGAUGACGAUGACGUGAGGGUGGUCGGUGUUGAGGAACUGGCGCUGGAGCAUUACGUGCGUGAGGGGUACAUGGAAGGGGUUCAUGGAGAAGGGUCUACAUUCCAAGCCCUCUUUGCUCUUCUGUGCUGGGAUGUCAUCUACGAUGACAACGUCUGCGACGUCUUCAGAACGCCUUACCAAGCACACCCGCUUGACCUGAAUUCGGACACCUUUUUCGAGAGUCGAGAGCGAGGCUUUGUGGACGCAUUUGAAAAACUAAGCCAUGGAACUAUCGAAGAACUUCAAGAGCUAAUCUCAACAAACUAUGAGAAGCACUCCGGUGAAAUGAGCCUCGUGCAAUGGGACAAGUACACAUGUCCCCAGCUAAGGGGCCUGGUGAAAUGUUUUGGGGGAAAGAAACUCUCUCUUCUCUGUGAGAGACUAGCACGUGACUAUCGACACUGCCGUAGUGGACUACCAGACCUAGUUGUGUGGAAUGUUGACACUGGAGUACUUAAGGCUGUCGAGGUCAAAGGUCCUGGGGAUAUCCUCUCUUCAAAGCAGGUUAUUUGGCUAGACUACCUCCUUUCCAUUGGCAUAGACAGUGAAGUGUGCCGUAUCAAGGUAUCACCAACGGAACCAUCAACAGUUCAGCCCACAAAUGUUACUACGGUAUCCCCUGGUACACGUCCCAUACCUGAAUUCCAGCUGAAGAUAUUUACUUGCAGUCCAACGUAUUACAACACAUACUACAUGGAUCGCCGAAGGGGCUUUCUCAUUGUCGGUGCCAAGGACGCGUUGCACAAGACACCACUGAAGAACAUCAACGAUACCGUGUGCGGGAGGGCGUGCUACUACAACUACAUCAAGUUCAUUCUGCCAUUGAAAGAAGGAAGCACGUUGUUCGUCUGUGGCACCAACGCUCGCAGUCCGGCGCAUUUCGAAGUAUACGCUGACGCUUUCACGAUGGUUCCGGACCAGUUUACCACGCUGCCUCAUCAGGCUGAGGACAUAUGCUCACCCGAUUUUUUACGUCAGGGUCUCGGUCUGUGGGUGGGUGCUGACCUGUUCACUGCGACAGCUACAAAAGGCAGCGUGAACGAGCAAGCGAUAUUGAGGACACGACUUAUAAGGAAUGAUACAUCAUCCUCAUCGUAUCACACGGACCUUGAUGUGAUUUCGACACAUGGUGCUGAACGCUUCAUGAAAGCCGCACAGCUCAAAGGGAUGUUUGCGAUUGGAGAGCACGUGUACAUAUUCUUCCAGGAGACUCCGCUAGAAAUAGGAACUAAAUCAUCUAAUCUCAGAAAAUCGUAUUCACGUAUCGCUCGUCUGUGCAAGAAUGAUAGAGGCGGCGGACAAGCCAAUUCCUGGACAUCAUUCCUCAAAGUUCGGCUCACUUGUGUAUUGGCCGAGGCGCAUGUCAAAUACUUCGAUUUUCUCGAAGCUAUUUAUAACAUUCCCGGGGAAGACAUUAUUUACGGCAUCUUCAGCAACCGAUUCACCGGCGAAUAUGCGAUUUGUUCGUUCCAACUAUCCAAUAUUACUGAUGCAUUCAACGGGGCAUUCCUGAAACCACCGGACCCGACAAUUUACCCAGAUGGGAAGUGGAUUGAUGUAGAUGAAGCUGAUGUCCCCCAGCCGCGUCCAGGACAGUGCGUCAGCGAUUCGCGAACGCUGCCUGUGGACGUGGUCUCCUUCAUUGAUGACCAUCCCCUACUCGCAAUUGUUAUCCAGGGUGAUGCUUCUUAUGUCAGCGGUCAGAUGGCGGCUCUUGCCGUCGUUAAGGUCAAAGUUGGUGGAACAUCCUAUUCUGUCAUCUACACUGGUGACCGCGAUGGAAUAAUCUAUCAAAUAGUUGAAAAGAACCCGCAGACAAAUAAUGUCUCUGAACUUGUGGACACGUUUCCAGCCUUUAUCAAAGAACCCAUUUGGAAGAUCGACAUAUCCAAAGAGCACAAUUCGCUCUACGCUUUUUCCGAGCGUGUUGUCAUGCAGUAUUCCCUUUACGCAUGCAGCGAUCGCUACAGGGAAUGCUCAAAGUGCGUCAGGAAUCCAUUCUGUGGUUGGCAUGCGGCACUGUCUGUUUGUAGGCCUUAUAUCGACAAACCUGGAGCCUACGGUAAUGCUACUUUACCCAGGGACUACAUAUCGGACCCUGAGUCAAGAACCUGUGGUCCUUGAGGCAACCCAGAGCUAAGGACUCUGAAAGAUAAUUAAAAGCGUAAUAAUUGUAGGCAGAGGGCUGGAGGUGCGAGUUGAAGGGAGGAUGAAGGAUGAAGGAUGAGUUGAAGGGAGUUGAAGGGAACAGACUGCAGGAACCAACACCACUUCGAUAACAGAAGGCCAAUGAACUCUUUGGAUCAACGUCACGAGUUUGACGAGAUAGACGUGACGUCACCGAAAGAGCGAAGAGAAGUCUCGCUCCGGAGCCUCUGCUAAACGGGUUUUUAAUCCAAGGGAGCUUUGCGUGUGCACGUGGUCCGUGUGUGUAACUACUGCCGACAGUCAUGAUGCUGGAACCAUAAACAUCUUUAUACAUAUAUGCAUUUAUGCAUGCAUAAAAU